rnacentral:lncRNA from 1 species
CCCCCCCGCCGCGCUCGGUGGUGCAGGCGGGGGGCGCUGGGGCGGGCGCCGCCCGCGGGAGGGGGCGGCACGGCCGGGAGCCGCGUGAGGAGGAGGUGGAGAAGGAGGAGGAAGUUUAUUGCCGAAGGGGAGCGGAGGGCAGCCCGGCGCCGCGUGAGCCCGCCGGGACCCAUGUGUCUGGGCUGCUGGAGGAGCCCGGGGGUCGGGCGUGCUGCGGUAUCGCCGCACUGUCUUCGCCCCGUGCCCCGUGCCCCGUGCCCCGUGCCAGCCUCAUAUCUGCGGGCAUCGCUGCUUCGUGCGUCCGCUGGGCUGGCGGGGCGCGAGCGUGAGUCGGAGCGGGAGCGUCAAUAAAAGCUGCGGGGGAACUGGGCGCGAGGAGAGCCGCGCGUCUUCAGGGGUGGCACGGAGCUGCGGGAAGGGUGUCGAGCGGAGAGCAGCGAUGGCUUCCUGCGGAGCUGUCACCAAGGCUGCUGUGCGGUGUUGGUGCUUUGCAGUGCAGCUCGGGAACGCUGCUGGCAUCCUGCCCCACAGCCAUGUAAAUUUUCCUCUAUACGAAUGUUCAUUGUUGCCUUCUACAUUCCUCUGCUGA